CGCGGCCCGGCGCGGAGCGGGUGGCAUCAGGCGGCGGGGUUGCGGCAUCCCGCCCGCCCCGCGCCGGGUACCGGCACCGCCUGUUGCAGCGUGCCUCCUCGCUGUGGCACAGAAAAUGGAGCAGCAAAGUGUGAAGGCAGAGAAGAGAAACUGCUCAGCUUGUCUGAGGAACUGCUAUGCUCAUUUUCCAGCAGUGCAGGCAUUCCAGCAUGACACUCAUUUGUAGCAACAAAAGCAGCAGCACUGCCAGCAAACUCACACCACCUGGUAUGUGUCUGGCACUUCACUCUUGGUAUUUGCUUUUGAGUGGCACAUCUUCCAUUUCUCUAUGUUCUCUCACAGGUUUUGCACUCUAAGAAAGCAGCAAAAAUAAAGUCUAGUUUUCUUUUUCACAUCACGUACAUUUUGUGAAGUUGCUAACUUAAUUGCUAUCCACACAUAAACGUUAUUUCUAAC
rnacentral:lncRNA from 1 species